rnacentral:lncRNA from 1 species
UUUGAAUUUAGAAAAGCGCCAACUAAGAAAACUCGCGGACAUGGAUAAAACACCUGUAAGUGAGUCUAGCGCUGGUGAUCUCAUGGAACGGAAGUUUGCUGUGGUGAGGUGGAUUGAAGGAGAGGAUGCUGGGAAGUUAAGUGAAGUCAAGACUGAGACCAUCCGGGCAUAUGACGAUUCCAAAAUGGACCAGCAUGGGUAUCCUAUCGUUGAGUAUUCAGCUAUUAUGGAAUGGCGCCAUGGGAAGAAACCGCGAGGAGGAUGGCCUCACUACAGAGGCACUGUGCUGUUUGUCAGCGCAACUCGCUUUGAGGCAACCUGUAAAAUGAACUCGCUGCUGAAGACUGAUGAACCUCUACUAACCAAGAGGAAAUCGGUCCUGCCUCAGAAAUAUCAAGAUGAGUCAGAUAACUCGACCGACACUGACAGUCAGAUUCUGACUCAGUCGUUACAUGUCAAGAAGUCAAAGGUACAGAAAAGAAAAGACCCUGCUGAAGAUUUUCUUGAGAUGUACUGUCGUCCACAAACUCCUUCAGGG